rnacentral:rRNA from 1 species
AGAACGAACGCUGGCGGCAUGCCUAACACAUGCAAGUCGAACGCUCUUGGGGCUUCGGUUCCAAGGGAGUGGCGCACGGGUGAGUAGCGCGUGGGAACCUGCCCUGGAGUGGGGGAUAACCGAGGGAAACUUCGGCUAAUACCGCAUGCGCCCGGGAAACCGGGGAAAGAUUUAUCGCUCUAGGAGGGGCCCGCGUCGGAUUAGCUAGUUGGUGGGGUAACGGCCUACCAAGGCUUUGAUCCGUAGCUGGUCUGAGAGGAUGAUCAGCCACACUGGGACUGAGACACGGCCCAGACUCCUACGGGAGGCAGCAGUGGGGAAUAUUGGACAAUGGGCGCAAGCCUGAUCCAGCAAUGCCGCGUGAGUGAUGAAGGCCUUCGGGUUGUAAAGCUCUUUCGCACGCGAGGAUGAUGACGCUAGCGUGAGAAGAAGCCCGGCUAACUUCGUGCCAGCAGCCGC